CUGCUGCCUUCCGUAGGAGUUUGGGCCGUGUCUCAGUCCCAAUGUGGCCGUUCACCCUCUCAGGCCGGCUACUGAUCGUCGCCUUGGUGGGCCGUUACCCCUCCAACCAGCUAAUCAGACGCGGGUCCAUCCUGUACCACCGGAGUUUUUCACACUGUACCAUGCGGUACUGUGCGCUUAUGCGGUUUUAGCACCUAUUUCUAAGUGUUAUCCCCCUGUACAGGGCAGGUUACCCACGCGUUACUCACCCGUCCGCCACUAAGAUAAA
rnacentral:rRNA from 1 species